rnacentral:pre_miRNA from 1 species
AUAAGGUAGAGAUAUUGUUGUCUUUUUGCAUAUAGCACUCUGUUAUGAAAGACAUCAAUUCACUAGCUUUCAA